ACCUUUGUGGAUGGAAACAGUAGGUAGAGCAUGAGACUCUUCAUCUCAGGGUUGUGGGUUUGAGCCCCACACUGGGCA